AUUGAACGCUGGCGGCAUGCCUUACACAUGCAAGUCGAACGGUAGCAGGUUAAGCUGACGAGUGGCGAACGGGUGAGUAAUACAUCGGAACGUGCCCAGUAGUGGGGGAUAGCCCGGCGAAAGCCGGAUUAAUACCGCAUACGACCUAAGGGUGAAAGGGGGGGAUCGCAAGACCUCUCGCUAUUGGAGCGGCCGAUGUCAGAUUAGCUAGUUGGUGGGGUAAAAGCUCACCAAGGCGACGAUCUGUAGCUGGUCUGAGAGGACGACCAGCCACACUGGGACUGAGACACGGCCCAGACUCCUACGGGAGGCAGCAGUGGGGAAUUUUGGACAAUGGGCGCAAGCCUGAUCCAGCCAUGCCGCGUGCGGGAAGAAGGCCUUCGGGUUGUAAACCGCUUUUGUCAGGGAAGAAAUCCUUUGGGUUAAUACCUCGGGGGGAUGACGGUACCUGAAGAAUAAGCACCGGCUAACUACGUG
rnacentral:rRNA from 1 species